AACGAACGCUGGCGGCAUGCCUAACACAUGCAAGUCGAACGAGACCUUCGGGUCUAGUGGCGCACGUGUGCGUAACGCGUGGGAACCUGCCCUUAGGUUCGGAAUAACUCCCCGAAAGGGGUGCUAAUACCGGAUAAUGUCUUCGGACCAAAGAUUUAUCGCCUUUGGAUGGGCCCGCGUUGGAUUAGCUAGUUGGUAGGGUAAAAGCCUACCAAGGCGACGAUCCAUAGCUGGUCUGAGAGGAUGAUCAGCCACACUGGGACUGAGACACGGCCCAGACUCCUACGGGAGGCAGUAGUGGGGAAUAUUGGACAAUGGGCGAAAGCAUGAUCCAGCAAUGCCGCGUGAGUGAUGAAGGCCUUAGGGUUGUAAAGCUCUUUUACCCGGGAUGAUAAUGACAGUACCGGGAGAAUAAGCUCCGGCUAACUCCGUG
rnacentral:rRNA from 1 species